GGAGUGACGUUUAUAAUUUAUUUGAGAAAUGUUCCCUUUUGAUUUGGUGUUUUCUUUAUAUAGAUAUAUUUGAGAGGUUAGAAUCAAAACAUGAAAUUAUACAAAUCAUCAAGAUAUACGAAGAAAGUAUCACAUAACAGUAACAAGUUUGAUAAAAGUUAAAUUUUAGAAACGAAUUUUAUAAUUUACAAAUUCAUGCAACAGGAAUUUAUAAUCUACAACUUGAGAUAAUUAAAGGACCGAUGCGACGGACGAUGUUGAAUGUGUUGAAUGAAAUUUUUAAAAUGUUAAAUGGAAAGUUGUUACACUGACUAUAAUUUCUAAGAUAAUAGAAUUCCAUGAACCUCGAGUUAUAUAUGAACCUGUCGAGAUAAGUGUCAAUAGUGGAGGAACAAUAAUUUAGGAUCGUUAACUGAUUUGAUUCUAAUAAAACAGUGGGUAUAUACAUUGGUCACGAGGUUUGUAACGAGAUAUUAAGCUAUUUAAUUCUAACGAACUUCAAUUUAUUCAAUUUAUAUAUGUUUAACCUCUUGUUGAAAUUGAAAAUCUAUAACCUACUUGUAAAUACGAACGAUGAAUUAAAGGUGAAUUGAGAGCGAAGUGGCCGGUCCAAUUCGAUCCUGUUUAAAAAAAAAAA